CUUCCGGUGCUCCUGCCUCAGGGCGGAAGGAAGGACGUCGGGGGGCAGGUCGUGCUCCUCUUUCCUCUUCCUUUGGGAAGCAAAGCAAUAUGCCACGAUAUCUAUGGGACAGCAUGCCAGCUUCCUUCCCUGAAGGGUUUUCUGGAGAUUAAGGUACACUAACGUCGUUUUAUCUACUAUAUUGUAUCCCAUUAAUAAAUCAUCAUCCAAAUUAUCA
rnacentral:lncRNA from 12 species